CCCAUCCCGCAACCCCAUCCUGGCCCCAGGAGCCGUGGUCCCUCCCGGCCGGCCGUCCCCGGGGAGGUGACAAGCAGCGCGAACGGCCUUAUAGAUGAUGGCACUUGGACGGGCAGUCAGGACAGAGCUGGAGAAAAGUGGAUGGGACAAGCUCUGUACCAGCAGGAUUUCUAGCCUCAGCAGGAAUGAGGAAAGCGUGGAAACAGCCCUUGGGGGAUCUGGGGAAGGGGACACUGGCCGGCCGCCGUCACUGCCUUCCUGUCCCACUCCAGAGGGCUGAGUCUACGAAGAGAUUUGAAAAGCCCAAGCUGGUGAAAAGUAUCCUGUUGGCUCCUCCAAAAGUUGGAACCCAACUGUUCUCAGCCCUCCUCCGCUCCCACUCUGGCCCACAGCAUUGUCAUCACUCUCCUGGAACAUGGCAAGUGUCCUGAAAGGUCACCCACACUGCAGCCAGAGGAGUCCUGAUAAAACUACAUCAGAUCAUGUCCCUUUUCUGUUCAAAACGUGCUGGCAUGAACACACUGGCCUCUCGCGUCGAAGGACCUGGCCCCUGCUUCCUCUUGGCCCCACUCUCCCACGCCCUCCUUGCUCCCACCAUCCUGGCCACCCCAGUGCAGGUCCCACCCCAGGAUCUUUGCAUGUGUUGUUUCCUCUGAGUGCAAGGUUCUUCCCCAGAUUUUCCAUUCAUCUUCCUCCCUUACUUCUUCAGGUCUUUUCUCAAAUCUUAGCUUCUCACUGAGGUUUGUCCAUGCCAGCUUAUUAAAAAUGCAACACCAUCCCCCUCA